CCUAAACCUGUAGCAGAAUUUAAAAGUAGUUCCAAUGUUGCACUAUAUCAGGCAGUCCAUUGAGAUAAGGAGUAUGUUCAGCAAGAUAUCCAUUAGGAGUCAGCCAGUUACAUCUACUUGAUUUCUACUAAAGGAUUGUACGUAUGUGAUGAACGUCACUGCAUCUGAUGUGCUAGCAGUGUCCACUAAAUGCUGCUCCAACUCUUGACGGGACUGUUAGAGGAAAAAAACCCAGUAUUUUAAAGGUGGAUGUAGUAACUCCCAUCAAAUGUGUUAUUCUACAAUUUCAAGCUGAAAAUCAGAAUUCAUAUCCUACCUUAACAUACUGUUCAACCUCUGUCACAAUGCCCAUAACAGCUGAAUAAGACUCCUCCAGCGCUGCAGGACCAUCGGGCAUCCGUGUUAAGGCAUUCCGAUAGAACUUCUCUUCCUCAGACAAUUCAUAGUGUACC